rnacentral:rRNA from 1 species
CCAGCUCCAAUAGCGUAUAUUAAAGUUGUUGCAGUUAAAAAGCUCGUAGUUGGAUUUAGGGACGCGCAUUCAGCGUCCGCGUUGUCGGGUCAAACCGGCAGCGCGUGGCGUUGCGGGCUCGGUCCGCUGGAGGACCAGCGUGUCAACCGGCCCGCCCGUCCCCUCCUUCUGGAUUCCCGUUCCUGCUAUUGAGUUAGUGGGGACGUCACAGGGGAUUAUCAUCGGGCGUUCGCGCGCCCGGUGAUGGUCCCUGGGGCCCAGAUCGUUUACCGUGAAAAAAUUAGAGUGUUCAAAGCAGGCAGAUUCAACUUUCUGCCACCGAAUACAUUAGCAUGGGAUAAUGGAAUAGGACCCUGUCCUCCUAUUUUCAGUUGGUUUUUGAGGACCAGGGUAAUGAUUAAUAGGGAUAGUUGGGGGCAUUAAUAUUUAAUUGUCAGAGGUGAAAUUCUUGGAUUUAUGAAAGAUUAACUUCUGCGAAAGCAUCUGCCAAGGAUGUUUUCAUUAAUCAAGAACGAAAGUUAGGGGAUCGAAGACGAUCAGAUACCGUCGUAGUCUUAACCAUAAACGAUGCCGACCAGCGAUUAGGAGACGUUGAAUACAAAACACCACCAUCAGACGGCGAGCCAUCCCCACGCGAGUGGGGGUGGCCCGUUUCUCUGGUGGCCCGGUGAAUGACUCCCCUAGCAGCUUGUGAGAAAUCAUAAGUCUUUGGGUUCCGGGGGGAGUAUGGUCGCAAGGCUGAAACUUAAAGGAAUUGACGGAAGGGCACCACCAGGAGUGGAGCCUGCGGCUUAAUUUGACUCAAC